GACGAACGCUGGCGGCGUGCCUAAUACAUGCAAGUAGAACGCAGUUGCGAACGGGUGAGUAACGCGUAGCUAACUGCCUGGUAGCGGGGGAUAACUAUUGGAAACGAUAGCUAAUACCGCAUAUUACCAUAUGGACCUGCGUUGUAUUAGCUAGUUGGUGGGGUAACGUAUCACCAAGGCAACGAUACGUAGCCGACAUGAGAGGGUGAUCGGCAACACUGGGACUGAGAAACGGCCCAGAUUCCUACGGGAGGCAGCAGUAGGGAAUCGUCGGCAAUGGGCGGAACCCUGACCGAGCAACGCCGCGUGAGUGAGGAAGGUUUUCGGAUCGUAAAGCUCUGUUGUUAGGGAAGCGGUACUUAACCAGAAAGGGACGGCUAACUACGUGCCAGCAGCCGCGGUAAUUC
rnacentral:rRNA from 1 species